rnacentral:tRNA from 1 species
GGUGGCUCAGUGGUAGAGCACCUGCCUUGAAUGCUCGAGGCCCUGGGUUCGAUUCCCCAGCACCA